rnacentral:rRNA from 1 species
CACGUAGGGGGCAAGCGUUGUCCGGAUUUAUUGGGCGUAAAGAGCUCGUAGGCGGCUUAGUAAGUCGGGUGUGAAACCUCCAGGCUCAACCUGGAGACGCCACCCGAUACUGCUGUGGCUAGAGUCCGGUAGGGGAGCGUGGAAUUCCUGGUGUAGCGGUGAAAUGCGCAGAUACCAGGAGGAACACCAGCGGCGAAGGCGGCGCUCUGGGCCGGUACUGACGCUGAGGAGCGAAAGCGUGGGGAGCAAACAGG